AGUGAACGCUGGCGGCAGGCCUAACACAUGCAAGUCGAACGGCAGCACAGUAAGAGCUUGCUCUUACGGGUGGCGAGUGGCGGACGGGUGAGGAAUACAUCGGAAUCUACUUUUUCGUGGGGGAUUACGUAGGGAAACUUACGCUAAUACCGCAUACGACCUACGGGUGAAAGCAGUGGAUCUUCGGACCUUGUGCGAUUGACUGAGCCGAUGUCGGAUUAGCUAGUUGGCGGGGUAAAGGCCCACCAAGGCGACGCUCCGGAGCUGGUCUGAGAGGAUGAUCAGCCACACUGGAACUGAGACACGGUCCAGACUCCUACGGGAGGCAGCAGUGGGGAAUAUUGGACAAUGGGCGCAAGCCUGAUCCAGCCAUACCGCGUGGGUGAAGAAGGCCUUCGGGUUGUAAAGCCCUUUUGUUGGGAAAGAAAAGCAGCAGGUUAAUACCCCGCUGUUCUGACGGUACCCAAAGAAUAAGCACCGGCUAACUUCGUG
rnacentral:rRNA from 1 species